UUUUCAAGUUUGUAUGCGUGAGGAAGUACCAGAGACACAAAAUAACACCCCAAAUCCCAGAAAAGGUGAUUUUUUUUUCAUAAUAUGGGCACUUUAAAGUUUCAACUGCAGCAUUGUAAUAAAUGCUACACAAGAAGCCAUAACGAAUCUACUGAGCCAAUUACAUAAGUACCAUUAUCCAACAGGUUUACCUCCAAACUGUCUAACAUUAUUUAGUUGCCAAACGAUACUGUGGUCGCAACAUUUCUGUUUCUUCUUUUUAGGAAAACAUCAUGAAUGCACUAUAAAAUAAACAUAGGCCUACAUAAUUAAUACCCAUCACUUUAUUUUCUGUUAAAACAUACUUGUUUACAAAGAUUGAUGUUUAUAUUUACAAAAUGAUAAUAGUAAUUACUAAAAAAAGAAUUAAGGCUAGAUUGUUUUUAAUUGAAUUUGCCUACCCUGCUUAAAAAUGUACCAAAUUAAAAAUCUUGUUUUCAUUUUGCUCUGUCAAGUAUUUUUCUAAUGAUGUUGCUUUCUUAGUAAAAAAAAAUCUGAUUUGAGAAUGUAACUUUUGAAGAAUCUAAACAGAAGGCAAAAACUAAAGCACUCAGUUUCAUUUUCUAUAAGUUUUUAUUUUACAUAUACUACAGUUUUUUGAUAAAGACCACUUUUGACAUUGUAGUGUAAAGAAAAAAGAAGCUCUACAGGGUUUUUGGCUUUUCAAACAAUUGACCAUUUAAAA